rnacentral:rRNA from 1 species
CGAGGAAUAUUGCGCAAUGGGGGCAACCCUGACGCAGUGACGCCGCGUGAGUGAUGAAGGCUUUCGGGUCGUAAAGCUCUGUUAGGUGGAAAGAAACAUCCCGGCGCUAAUAUCGUCGGGACUUGACGGUACCACCAGAGGAAGCACCGGCUAACUCCGUGCCAGCAGCCGCGGUAAUACGGAGGGUGCAAGCGUUGUUCGGAUUUACUGGGCGUAAAGGGCGUGUAGGCGGUUGGCUAAGUCAGAUGUGAAAUCCCUUGGCUUAACCAAGGAACGGCAUUUGAAACUAGCUAACUAGAGUACAGGAGAGGAAAGUGGAAUUCCCAGUGUAGAGGUGAAAUUCAUAGAUAUUGGGAGGAACACCGGUAGCGAAGGCGGCUUUCUGGUCUGAUACUGACGCCGAGACGCGAAAGCGUGGGUAGCAAACAG